UACGUAGGGUGCUAGCGUUGUUCGGAAUCAUUGGGCGUAAAGCGCGUGUAGGUUGUUAGGUAAGUCUUGUGUGAAAUCCCUGGGCUCAACCGAGGAAGUGCAUGGGAAACUACCUAGCUAGAAGAUGGUAGAGGAAGGUGGAAUUCCUAGUGUAGAGGUGAAUUCGUAGAUAUUAGGAGGAAUACCGGUGGCGAAGGCGGCCUUCUGGACCAUUCUUGACACUGAGACGCGAAAGCGUGGUAGCAAACAGG
rnacentral:rRNA from 1 species